CCCCGAUGACAUCAUAAUAAAUCCAUCGGCAUUUUUUUGAAUGAAACCGACACCCUCACAUUGUCAUACACAUUGGAAAUUUUCUCAGAGAAAAUUUGAAUCAUCCAAUGUGCUAUAUAGAGUGGGGUAAUUUUGGCCGAUUGCACGAACCACAUGAAAAUGACCACAAUGUCGAUAAGUUAUGGUGGGGAUAUGGGUAUAUGUACAGGUGGUCGGGAGCGCUUGGCUUCAGUUUCUGUGGCGUCUUGGAUAGGUGUGUGUGGCAACGUAGUGCACUAACAUCGCAGAGGGCCCCCAACUGGGGGGCGGGGGCACCCUCUCCGGCCAACGGCCACGUCAGCAGUCUGGUGAAAAAAAAAACGCGUAUACCUUUCUUAGACCAUCUUUAAUUGUGAAAAUUUGCUCUGAUUGGAGUUUUUCUGCUGUUAUAAUGCAGAGUGUUCGAGAAAAACUGAUCAAGAGAGAGAAAACUCUUCGGAGACAAAGAACUGCGCAAUUGAACGGCCAUUUUGAAAGACGCCCAUGACGUCAGGAACAGAAACUCCCGUUGGCCAGAGAGGUGGAUUUUUUUUUGGAGUGUGAACGAAGUGAGAAGAUGUGGCUCUUUUUGCAACCCCAUCUGCAUUUGAAGAGGUACAAUUUGAGCUAUUAUCUUUCUCAAUAAUUAAUCCUCGCAACUUAGAUUGUAUAUAUUUUUGGAAAUUAUUGUAGAAAAUACUUCGUAUAUUUGAGGAAAUAUUUGAUACCGCCCUAUUGAGAUGAGACUAUCUGGGGGAAUUAUUAAAACUAUGCUAUUUGAGAUAAUGAGCAAGAGAAAAAAGCAUAAAGUAGAAAUAUUAAUUUGAGCGAAUAAUUCAGAAUUAUACAAAAUGUUUAAUGAACUAUACGUAAGAUCAAUGAUAUUUACUGAUGAAUAAUGAAUUUAUAACUUGAUAUUCGCAAAAUACUAUGCUGAAAUGAAGAAACAUGAUAAAAAAAUAUUAUAAAGGUACUACAUGACGACGAAGGUAUGCAAAAUCAUUUAUAUAGUGUUGAAAUUUCCAAAAAAAAAAAAAAAUGCGCUGAGAUAUUAAAAAAGAAACUUGAAUAGCAGCAGCAAAUGAUCAAAUGAACACAAUGGAUAAAUUUAUAAAGAAACGAGGAACUUGUUGAGAAAAAGAAAAAAAUGAUUCAUAUAUGCUACUGAUUGAUUUACAAGGGUGAGAAAAACAAAAUGGUAAAUAUUGAAAAGAAGAAAAAUUAAAGCCAAAUGAGCUUUAUACAAAAAAAAAAGAAACUGGCCUAGGAUGGUGAUUAGGCAACACCACCUAGGAAUUCCAAUUGGGCGCAAUGAAGGUAAGGGACGGCCUGAUUUGCGACCUAAUACCACUAUUUGGCGGACGUAGGUGGGUAGCGAUGACUGUUGAUACCGACACGAUUUGCAUGCCAAGAUAUCCACUUAACGAACACAAUGGUGAAAAAAAAAUUUACCCAAAAAAAAAUGAAAUGGAGAAUAUGGUACUCGCAAUAUUAAAAAAAAAUGCAACACGACUAAGCAAGAAAAUCUUAAAACAUGCUAUAAACAAACAAAAAAAGAUACACAUGAAUAAAAUAGAUUUAACAUUGAUUCAAAGUAUUUAACAAUCGAUUUCAUGAUUUGAGUAUAAAAAUUGUGUGCAACUGAGAUCAAUUUCAUGAAUGAGAUGGUUAAUACACGACGGUUAGAAAUCACUUUUAUUAAAUUAGGUUUUCCUACGAGCAAUGGAACCUAAACGAUAACACAUGAUGCACUUUUUAAUGCAAAAAAAAAACAGAAAGAAAUGAAACACAUGAAUAUUUAAAUCCAAAUAAAUGGAUUGAACAUCAAAAAGAAAAAAAAUGAAGAAAAUCCUAAAAAAAAGCAGAAAAAAGAAAAAAAAUUGCUUGAUUUGCAAAUUGACAUAGGUCUAAACAGGAUCUAUGAAAAAUUACUGAAUUGAGCUAAAAUUUACAUAAGAGUCUAUAAAAAAUCCUUAAAAAAAUGAAAAAAGCUAAGUAAAAUUAAGAUAAAAAAAAUUAAAAAAAUAACAAGAAAUCCAAAUGAAACUAUAAGAUGAAAAAUGUCAUUUAAAAAUACUUAAAGUUCCUAGUAAAAAAAAAUAAAAAUAGUAUUGUGAAGUAAAAUUUUAAAAUGUUUGAAAACAAUAUAUAAACUUAUUAAAAGUGAAUUUUGAAGAAAGAUGAAUAAAAAAAAACAUAAGAAAUCAGAAAAGUAACUAAAUAAAUAUUUGUGAAAUUAGAUGAGCAGAAAAUCCAUUGAAUAAAGGAAAAAAAAACAAGUAAAUUAGAUGUAAACAGAAAAAUACAUAUGUGUGAAAAAAAAUUUGAGUCGUUGAAUUUCAUGAUAACAUGUAGUGAAAAAAAAAGAAAAAAUGAAGAAAAUGCAAAAGAAAAUAAGAAGACAAUGAAAAUUCGAGUCUGACGAUAUAUAUUUUUUGUUUAUUAUUUUUGAUAAAAUAUGUUUUCUGUUGAAAAAAGAACAUGAUAAAAGAAAUUUAUUGAAUUUUUUGAUUUUUGUACAGUGAAUGACAAAGAAAAAAAGAAACUAAAAAGAGAUAGGCACGAUGAUUGGGAUAGGAAUAUUUUUUUCAUCAAGUCCGGAAACUUCUAAUUUGCCCUCGCAUUUUCAAGAGUGAGUUUAUUCUUUAAAUAUAUCCCACUAAAUGGUAUCUGGUUAUUGUUUGGUGUGCGUUGUAUUUUGAGAAGAGACACACAAAGGAGAUGUGAAGAGGAGCGUGGAAAAUUUUCGAAAUUGGUGAUAAUUAUUUAAUCGCAUAGUCGUGCAUUAUUUCCUUUUGUUGAGAAAAUAAUUAUAUAUUUUUUUUCGUACGAGAAGACACUGUAAUUAAUGAUAAUUUGAAAAAUGUUAAUGUACUAGAGAUUAUGCUUUUAGGUAUACAUUUUGUGCUGUCGGCUCUGAAGGUAAUAAAAGCAUAAUUAUGAGAUCAAUGAACUUGAAGAAAAAUUGAACAAAAAAAAUUAUAAAAUGAGAGAAAAUCAAUAAAUGAAUAUAAGAUCCGGACAAAUGUCCGAGAGAAAAAACCUCAAAA